GUGGAUUAGAUACCCUGGUAGUCCUGGCCGUAAACGUUGGGCACUAGGUGUUGGAGGCAUCGACCCCUCCAGUGCCGCAGCUAACGCAUUAAGUGCCCCGCCUGGGGAGUACGGCCGCAAGGUUGAAACUCAAAGGAAUUGACGGGGGCCCGCACAAGCGGUGGAGCAUGUGGUUUAAUUCGACGCAACGCGAAGAACCUUACCCAGACUUGACAUGCACGGGACCGGUGUUGAAAUACACCUUCCCUUCGGGGCUCGUGCACAGAUGCUGCACGGUUGUCGCUAACU
rnacentral:rRNA from 1 species